UCUGUGUUGAGGUCAAUGGUCACAUGUUCCUCCACACACAAACUUUGUGUUGAGGUCACACGUUCCUCCAUACACAAACUCUGUGUUGAGGUCACACGUUCCUCCAUACACAAACUCUGUGUUGAGGUCACACGUUCCUCCAUACACAAACUCUGUGUUGAGGUCAAUGGUCACAUGUUCCUC